GUCUGGAACCAAAUCCGCAGUAUCUCUGAGGAAGUACAGAAACAAAGACAAAUGAGGAAGACACGGUUGGGGCUCUUGAUGCACUCCACCUAGACGGAAGAGGCUCAUAAACAGGCUUGCUGAAGCUUCAUAAGGACUAGAUGGUACAUGCUGAGACAACACUGGAUCCUUGUUUGUGACACUGAAGGGGCAUUCUGGCAUUCUGAGCCCUAUUUAUAGCCUCUAACAGAGAGUUCAUCGUUUAAAACAAAGCUAGUCACUUAGCCAAAGACCUUACAGGAUAUGGCCCCUAGGACCCUCUUAUAUAAAAUUCUACAUGUGCCAUUCAUCUAUAAGAUGUAGUUUUAAAAAGAGAAAAAGAAGAAGAAACUUUAUAUCCUUUGUCACAUUUGUCCUUUAAUGGAAGCAGAGGAUGUGGGAAGGAGAGUGGCCUCCAAAACAACCAAAAUGCUUACAUUUUCCAAAGUUUGUGCAAAUAAACAUGGACUCCUUUUGUAAUCAA